rnacentral:rRNA from 1 species
GAAUCCCGUCUCUGACACGGACUACCAGGGCUUUGUGGUAUGCUCUCAAAGAGUCGAGUUGUUUGGGAAUGCAGCUCAAAAUGGGUGGUAAAUUCCAUCUAAAGCUAAAUAUUGGCGAGAGACCGAUAGCGAACAAGUACCGUGAGGGAAAGAUGAAAAGAACUUUGGAAAGAGAGUUAAACAGUACGUGAAAUUGCUGAAAGGGAAACGCUUGAAGUCAGUCGCGUUGGCCAGGGAUCAGCCUCGCUCCUGCGUGAUGUACUUUCUGGUUGACGGGUCAGCAUCAAUUUUGACCGCUGGAAAAAGGCGUAGGGAAUGUGGCAGUUUCGGCUGUGUUAUAGCCCUUUGUCAUAUACAGCGGUUGGGAUUGAGGAACUCAGCACGCCGCAAGGCCGGGUUUCGACCACGUUCGUGCUUAGGAUGCUGGCAUAAUGGCUUUAAGCGACCCGUCUUGAAACACGGACCAAGGAGUCUAACGUGCCUGCGAGUGUUUGGGUGGAAAACCCGAGCGCGUAAUGAAAGUGAAAGUUGAGAUCCCUGUCGUGGGGAGCAUCGACGCCCGGACCAGAACUUUUGGGACGGAUCCGCGGUAGAGCAUGUAUGUUGGGACCCGAAAGAUGGUGAACUAUGCCUGAAUAGGGUGAAGCCAGAGGAAACUCUGGUGGAGGCUCGUAGCGAUUCUGACGUGCAAAUCGAUCGUCAAAUUUGGGUAUAGGGGCGAAAGACUAAUCGAACCAUCUAGUAGCUGGUUCCUGCC